AGUUAGCCCUGAGUUAGCCUGCCCUGGAGCAGGUUAGUUCUGAAUGCAGGAUAGUGGAGUUAGCCCUGAGUUAGCCUGCCCUGGAGCAGGUUAGUUCUGAAUGCAGGAUAGUGGAGUUAGCCCUGAGUUAGCCUGCCCUGGAGCAGGUUAGUUCUGAAUGCAGGAUAGUGGAGUUAGCCCUGAGUUAGCCUGCCCUGGAGCAGGUUAGUUCUGAAUGCAGGAUAGUGGAGUUAGCCCUGAGUUAGCCUGCCCUGGAGCAGGUUAGUUCUGAAUGCAGGAUAGUGGAGUUAGCCCUGAGUUAGCCUGCCCUGGAGCAGGUUAGUUCUGAAUGCAGGAUA